ACCUGAUCAGCCAUGCCGCGUGUGUGAAGAAGGCCCUCGGGUUGUAAAGCACUUUCAGCGAGGAAGAACGCCUAGCGGUUAAUACCCGCUAGGAAAGACAUCACUCGCAGAAGAAGCACCGGCUAACUCCGUGCCAGCAGCCGCGGUAAUACGGAGGGUGCAAGCGUUAAUCGGAAUUACUGGGCGUAAAGCGCGCGUAGGUGGCUUGAUAAGCCGGUUGUGAAAGCCCCGGGCUCAACCUGGGAACGGCAUCCGGAACUGUCAAGCUAGAGUGCAGGAGAGGAAGGUAGAAUUCCCGGUGUAGCGGUGAAAUGCGUAGAGAUCGGGAGGAAUACCAGUGGCGAAGGCGGCCUUCUGGACUGACACUGACACUGAGGUGCGAAAGCGUGGGUAGCAAACAGGAUUAGAUACCCUGGUAGUCCACGCCGUAAACGAUGUCGACCAGCCGUUGGGUGCCUAGCGCACUUUGUGGCGAAGUUAACGCGAUAAGUCGACCGCCUGGGGAGUACGGCCGCAAGGUUAAAACUCAAAUG
rnacentral:rRNA from 1 species